rnacentral:rRNA from 1 species
UACGAAGGGGGCUAGCGUUGCUCGGAAUCACUGGGCGUAAAGCGCACGUAGGCGGCUUGUUAAGUCAGGGGUGAAAUCCUGGAGCUCAACUCCAGAACUGCCUUUGAUACUGAUAAGCUUGAGUCCGGGAGAGGUGAGUGGAACUGCGAGUGUAGAGGUGAAAUUCGUAGAUAUUCGCAAGAACACCAGUGGCGAAGGCGGCUCACUGGCCCGGUACUGACGCUGAGGUGCGAAAGCGUGGGGAGCAAACAGG